rnacentral:rRNA from 1 species
GAUGAACGCUGGCGGCAGGCUUAACACAUGCAAGUCGAACGGAAGGGCCCUGCUUUCGUGGGGUGCCCGAGUGGCGAAGGGGUGAGAAACAUGUGAGUCACCUGCCCUUGACUGUGGGAUAACUUCAGGAAACUGGGGCUAAUACCGGCGAGGAGCUCCUGCUGCAUGGUGGGGGUUGGACAGCUUCGGCGGUGGUGGAUGGACUCGGGGCUUAUCAGCUGGUUGGUGGGGUAGUGGCUUACCAGGGGUUUGGCAGGUGGUCGGCCUGAGAGGGUGGCCGGCCACAUUGGGCCUGAGAUACGGCCCAGACUCCUACGGGAGGCAGCAGUGGGGAAUAUUGCACAAUGGGCGGAAGCCUGUUGCAGCAACGCCGCGUGCGGGAUGACGGCCUUCGUGUUGUAAACCGCUUUCGCCUGUGACGAAGCGUGAGUGACGGUAAUGGGUAAAGAAGCACCGGCUAACUACGUA